rnacentral:lncRNA from 1 species
UGUAAAAUGAUCCCACACAAUAGACCUUUUUCUCCUUUUUUUGGUUAUAUUUGACUCCAUUGUUUGAGCUUGACUUGUUGCAUUUGAAUUAGAAGCCCCACUUUCACCCAUCAUUACCUUAUCACUUUGUAUAUUUUUAGCCAUGUAUGAGUCACUGCAACAAGAAAAGAAAAGGAAUGAGAAUAAAAACAUCAAGUUAUAAGCAAUACUAGCGCUUCGUUUGUAUACAAAAGGUCACCAACAUCUUGAGUAUGUAUUUUAGCAAACUAUAUAACCUGGCCCUGUGUGUUCUUUAGCUUAUUUACAAUUAAGUGCUAAGAUUACUACGGGAUUGAAAAGUAAUUUGGACUGUGGACUGGACGUCAUCAGGCCAGCUACCAAACCGUCAUUUCUGAAAAAUUAAUUUGCCUUCCUGCAACUCUACAUUAGUUCCUGCAAGGCUGUAAGUGUAAGAUUACCAUUUACCAAUGACAAAUUCCUUGUUGUUACACCGAGCACACACAAUAUACAUGAGAAAUCAAGCCUUUCUUACAAAUACCAUGUUAUGGAUCUAUUUGCAAUUAAAGACUUCAAGCAUUCACAAGAAUACAUUUUUUUUUGGACAAACGAAUACUCUAGUUAUAGUAUUUUACAUCACUUCCCUUAGAUAUAUAAACAGAAUGUUCUAGUAACUGGGGCAUAAUUUGUCAUAAAAUGCAAAAUUUUGAUUCAGCUCUCAUAGACGGUUACCUUCAAGUUUACUAAAAGCAUCUGCUGGACUUCUUCCACCUACCAGAGACAACAAAAAGUAUUUGUAAUUCAGAAGGCAUAUAAAAGAAUAACCGUGUGCAAUAAUAUUAGAAAAAGAUGAUAGAGGAGAUCAUUUUCAUCCAUAAUUAUAUGAUCAGAAGAUUAUAUGAUAGAAUAAACAACUGCUUAGUGAGUAUACGAUCAAUAUAAAGAAAUAUAUGGCUACGAACCUGAACCAUGAUAUACAUAACCAAUGAUCAGCAAUGCACCCUGAAAUUUACACAAGUGAUAAAAUUAAUGGCUAUUAUAGGAUUGGGUAAUAAGAUCCAAAAAUUAAGAAAACAACGACUGGCACAACAUCAAAUAGCAACAUUUUAUAAACAUUUAGAAGAGUAGCACUGAAAAGGAAAAGGAGAUUGCCUAAGCAAUAACAAAAAUGAGCUCUCCUUUGUGGUAAAGAGGUCCAUGAAUGGAAUGAUAAAUAGCAUGCCGAUUC